rnacentral:ncRNA from 1 species
GUCCCUCGUGGGUCCCUCGAAAGAUGGUGAACUAUGCCUGAGUAGGGUGAAGUCAGGCGAAAGCCUGAUGGAGGCUCGUAGCGAUACUGACGUGCAAAUCGUUCGUCAAACUUGGGUAUAGGGGCGAAAGACUAAUCGAACCGUCUAGUAGCUGGUUUCUUCCGAAGUUUCUGUCAGGAUAGCUGGAGUUCUAUUAGUUUUGUCAGGUAAAGCGAAUGAUUAGAGGCCUCGGGGGCGCGUUGCCCUCGAACUAUUCUCAAACAUUAAAUGGGUAAGAUCCAGUGGUUACUUCAUUGAACUGCUGGGGUUAAUAUGAACUGCAUGUGGGCCAUUUUUGGUAGGCAGAACUGGCGAUGAGGGAUGCUCCUAACGCUUGGUUAAGGUGCCCAAAUACUGGCUCAGCAUACACCAUAAAAGGUGUUGGUUCAUUCACAGCAGAACGGUGGUCAUGGAAGCCAAAAUCCGCUAAGAAGUGUGUAACAACUUACCUGCCGAAUGAACCAACCCUGAAAAUAAAUGGCGCUGCAGAAUAUCGAUGGCGCUGCCCCUGGGGGACCACACGUGGAGAGAAAUGUUGACGCGGGGCAAUGCGCCGAACUAUCACUGUAUAGGGCGUUUCAAGUAGUGAU